UGGAACGCCGAGAAGGUCCGACGCAUGCGCACUAUUGGAUUUUCCUUGGCUACCCAGAGCGGAGCGGUGGGGUUGAGCGAUAAACAGGCUGUGGCUAAGGAGGCGGAGAAGGAGGAGGAGGAGAACGAGGGGGAGGGGGGACGGCUUCUCCCGGACUGUGCAUGCCUCCGUUUUCCUUUAGGUGUGGUUUGGUCCGGACGCGGAGUCCCGGCCGCCAACUUGAGCCUAGUCCCUUGUGAAAGGGGAAAGUAUCCCCGGCGGAGAGCGGUCAGCGUUGCGGAGGGGGUGCGAGACGGGAGUUAGAUAUACCCCCAUGCUGGUCGAGUGGUGCGGCCCUGAGCUGGUCCCGGAGCCCUCCAGACGCGUCUGAGAGAGGCCCUGGAGGGGGCGGAAAGUUGGUCCGCAGAACGCCGGCUCUGUGAAGGGACGUGGGGAAGAUUCGAUUCUGAGAAGAGGAAGAGCCCGACUGAAAGAGAGGCCGCUGAGGGGGAGGGGGCUGCCAAGAUGGCGUCGGCCUCCUCUGGGCCGUCGGCGGUCGGAUUUUCAUCUUUGGAUCCCGGGGUCCCGGGGCCGACCUCUGCAGCAGCAACUGGAAUCAAGAGACCUAUGACAUCUGAGAUGUCCUAUGCCACUGGCAUGACCAUCAAGAAAAUAGGCCACCGAAGUGUUGAUUCUUCAGGAGAGACAACAUACAAGAAGACGACGUCAUCAGCUUUGAAAGGUGCCAUCCAGUUAGGCAUAACUCACACUGUGGGGAGUCUGAGUACCAAACCAGAGCGGGAUGUCCUCAUGCAGGACUUCUAUGUGGUGGAGAGUAUCUUCUUUCCCAGUGAAGGGAGCAACUUGACACCUGCUCAUCACUAUAAUGACUUUCGGUUCAAGACCUAUGCGCCUGUUGCCUUCCGCUACUUUCGGGAGUUGUUUGGCAUCCGGCCUGAUGAUUACUUGUAUUCCCUCUGCAGUGAGCCACUGAUUGAACUCAGCAACUCUGGAGCUAGUGGUUCCCUCUUCUACGUGUCCAGCGAUGAUGAGUUCAUCAUCAAGACGGUGCAGCAUAAAGAAGCAGAGUUUCUGCAGAAACUUCUUCCCGGGUAUUACAUGAACCUCAACCAGAACCCUCGCACUUUGUUGCCUAAAUUCUAUGGACUGUACUGUGUGCAGGCGGGUGGCAAGAACAUUCGGAUUGUGGUGAUGAACAAUCUCUUACCAAGGUCAGUCAAGAUGCAUAUCAAAUACGACCUCAAGGGCUCCACUUACAAACGGCGUGCUUCUCAGAAAGAGCGAGAGAAGCCUCUGCCAACCUUUAAAGACUUGGACUUCUUACAAGACAUGCCUGAUGGUCUCUUCUUGGAUGCUGACAUGUACAAUGCUCUGUGUAAGACCCUGCAGCGUGACUGUUUGGUGCUUCAGAGCUUCAAGAUAAUGGACUAUAGUCUCUUGAUGUCAAUCCACAACAUAGAUCAUUCACAGCGAGAGCCCUUAAGCAGUGAAACACAAUACACAGUUGACACUCGUAGACCAACCUCCCAAAAGGCCCUGUAUUCCACAGCCAUGGAAUCGAUCCAGGGUGAGGCUCGACGUGGUGGCACCAUGGAGACCGAUGACCACAUGGGUGGCAUUCCUGCCCGCAAUAAUAAAGGGGAAAGGCUCCUGCUUUACAUCGGCAUCAUUGAUAUUCUGCAGUCUUACAGGUUUGUUAAGAAGCUGGAGCACUCUUGGAAAGCGCUGGUACAUGAUGGGGACACUGUAUCAGUGCACCGUCCAGGCUUCUAUGCUGAGCGAUUCCAGCGCUUCAUGUGCAACACAGUGUUCAAGAAGAUCCCCCUGAAGCCCUCUCCUUCCAAAAAGUUUCGGUCUGGCUCAUCUUUCUCUCGGCGAGCAGGCCCCAGCGGCAACACCUGCGUUACUUACCAGCCAUCGGCCUCUGGGGAGCACAGAGCACAAGUGACAACAAAGGCGGAAGUGGAGCCAGACGUCCACCUUGGUCGUCCUGAUGUUUUACCUCAGACUGCACCUGUGGAGGAAGUCAGUGAGGACUCAUUUGUUUCUGGCCCUAGUUUCUCACAUGUAGUUGGAGAGACUUUGCAAGUACUAAAUACGAGUGCUGGUUGGUGAUUGAACCCAAGGCCUCAUACAUGUUCAGCCAUGGAAAAGCUUGAAAUUACAGAGGAGCAGUUACCUCACUGAGCAACAAACCUCAGAAGACCUGAAACAAGACCCCACCGUCUCUGUGAUAUCAAGAUGUCCGCCCUUGCCCAGGAAUGCUCAGUUUUCUUCCUGAUCAUCAAAAAUGAACAAAAAAGGAGUUUAAUAGGGAGCUAGGGGAGCUCCCCAUCUCCGUCAGGAGGAAGAAGCUGUUCUUCCCCAUCUUCUGAGUGGGCAUCAGUGCCUUGGACAGUUGAGGACAGCAGCAGUCCUUCCACUCCAGAGCCGGCUGGCAGAGUUGUGACAGGCCAUCCUUGGCUUCCACAGUUGAAUUUCUUCAAACUCCCAUUGUGUGUGCUGGAAAUGGGGUUGCUGGACUUUGUGGUUUUCCUCCCUUUGUGCAUCUUUCACCAGGAGCUGGACUUAAUUUCUUCAGGACAGACCGGCUGGCGCACGAUCCCGUACCCUCUUCCUCUUGUCCCUGGAGGAAGACCUCUAUAGUUGUUAUAAAGGGUUUUCGGGGAAUAAGGGUGUGUAACCGUCUCCAUCCUUCUCCUUUUUUCUUUAAAAAGGACAAGAACAAAGAGCACACAGCACAAUUUGAAGCCAGUUUUAGAUCAGAACUCCAAAAGUCAGAGAUCCCUGCCCAUAGGGUUCCUGCAGAUGAGCCCCGGUUUUUGUGAAACAGAAAUGUGAUCGCUGUGCCUGCAGCAGCUUUUCAUCUCCUCAUAGGAUGAUGAAAUUCUUAAGGCUGAAGGGAUGAAAAGAAUAGGACAUGGGCUCAUCUUUGCCCCUUUUGUUAAAACAGUGGGGCUGCCAUGGGUGAGGAGAUGAGAAUCCUUCUUAGGCAGGACCCCACUCAUUGCCAGGCUGUAACGGUUACUAAGCCUUUGCAGUUUGAGAUGUAUUCUAGUCAUUUUUCUAAAUAUGAAGAUUUAUCAAAUGGAUUUUAGACCACUCUUCAAAGGAGACUUCUCUGUUCUCCCCAUCUUUCCAAAUGGUGUUCUGCUAUUUGUAGAGCUGAGGUGGACAGAGAUACCUGUGUCUGUUGAACAGGCGGGGAGGUGAGAGAAGGCUCUCUUCAGUUCAUGGGGCCUGGCAGACACGUACCUCGGGGACUUCAUGGCUGUGCCUAUGCUCUGCUCCCACUCUUUGUGCAGGGAAUUUGGAAUUGAGGCCCGUAAGCCCUCUCCUGUCCAUCUCGGUUGUGGUUGUCCAUCUCAGUUGUGGUUGUCCAUCCGGUUGGUCUGCUCUGGUCAGGGGAAGAAGGCGACCUGGUGUCUGAGGCAGAUUGUCGCAGUCCUACAGUCUCUCCUACAGUCUCUCCUCCAUCCCGCCCGACCGUGGUCGUAGGUUAGCCUGUGCCCCAAGCAACUGUCUAUAUUAGACACCCCAGCCAGUUUCUGGCUCCCUGUCUUUGCUGCCAUGUUCUUUUUUACAAGAAGAAAAGAAACAAUUCUUGCUAUUAUUUUUCAUAAUUUACUAUUUAUGAUGUAUUUAAGUGUUUUAUUCAGGACAGAGUUCUGUAAGGGGUGGGAGGGAAUAUUUGAGGGAGGGUCGUAGGGAAAGGAAUAGGGACUCAACAUUUUUAUGAAGUGUUACUAUUUGCUCUACUUUGUAUUGUUCAGAAAUGGCAAAUGCAGUUUAAAAGUAAUAAAUACCUGGUUUUAAUGUAUUAAACUUGCAUCAUUUAUGUAGA